ACGCUCGACACCUACGGGAGCAGCAGUGGGGAAUAUUGCACAAUGGGGGAAACCCUGAUGCAGCAACGCCGCGUGAAGGAAGACGGUUUUCGGAUUGUAAACUUCUGUUCUUAGUGAAGAUAGUGACGGUAGCUAAGGAGCAAGCCACGGCUAACUACGUGCCACAGCCGCGGUAAUCUGAGCGGGCGUGGCAAGGC
rnacentral:rRNA from 1 species